rnacentral:SRP_RNA from 1 species
UGGCGACAGGUAGGACCGGGGAGCCAGCCCUUCCCUGAACCCGAAAUGGGACAUAAUGCGGGGGUCAGCAACCUGAGGAGAGAUGUAUGCACCUCGAUCCCAUCUUGGUCAGAUCCUGUGAACGCGUGCCCAAGGGGGCCGAUGUAAAGACACUUGUCUUCCGUAGGGAAGGUCAAGAUGCCUCUUACCCGCCGAAUCGGGUUAGGCGCGGGAGCGAGCAACCCUAAGGCGAGGCAGCGGCGCUCCGUGAUCAGCACGUCGGAGGAACGAACCAGGGCAAGAACGAGACCUGUAUGCAUCGAUCCAAGGGAGCUGUCGCCA